CUCAAAGAUUAAGCCAUGCAAGUGGUUAUAUUAACCCGACAGUUUAAAUAAGUGUUCAUUAUAAAAUUUUUGCUUUUAUGCACUGAUAUUAUACACCACCACACACACAUAUCACAUAAUAUUUGCAUGCAAUACACACACGCACAACUCAUUGCACACAUUUAUUAUACGUUAUGUGUCUGGUAUCCACAUACAUACACAACCCACGUACAAUAUCUUCAUGCACAUUAGCAAUUUUUUUAACAUUUAUGUAUAUAUAUACACCCAAGACGUAUCACUUACGCAACUGCAGACAGCUGCUUAAUACAGUCACACUUGUCUUGACUUGGCACCACCCAUGUGACAGAAGAAUGCACACACACAUACAACCCACCGCACUCUUCCAUCACAUACACAUUUUUGUCUCACAAACAUUAAUGUGAUUUCUCUGUUUUCGCAUAACCUACAAGAAAUAUUGCGAUCACAUCGUGACACUUCUUUUUUUUUAUGGAUAACUCAGGGAAAGUUUGGCUAAUACGUACGAGUACUACCACACAACACACUACACACAUACACAACCCACACACCACACACUACUCAGCACUCAAUGGUAAACUUUGAUAUUUUGCAUUCGUGCAUUAUAUCGGUUCAAAAGUUUAAUCGCAACAUGAGAGACAUUGAGUACGCACUGCUUANAUAUUUCACUAUAUAUAUACGCUGAGCAGACUUUGCGAAGUUCACUUUGCGAAGCAUGUCAUACAAGCAUCUACAGCAUCAAGUCACAGGGUUGGCAAGUGUAUUUUUGAACCUUCAAUGCAGUCACGCAUACGGAAGAGUAGUUUUUGAUCCCCAUAGAGGGAGCNCCGUACAUUGAGAGACCGCUCUUAGUUCUAUGGAACGCACCAGGCGNGUAAAUUGCCCAAUNCUAGUACCCUAACAUUACUUUAUCAAUUACAAGCAAUAUAUAUACAUAUAUUAUGACAUUUGUUAACUACUGUCAACACACACACACACACACAUCCUUGUUCGCAUGUCCCUUUAACAAAUACACAAUAUUUUAUUAUUGUUUUCACAAAUAAUGGUAUUUUAUUUUUUUUUACUGAGGCAGUGACAAGCUGUAACGGUUGAGUAUAAAAAUGACGAGUGUCUGGCAUUGCCGCUUCUUUCGGGGAGCUUGGCAAGUUGCCGACGCUUUGUGUGCUCAAUUGGAAUGCGGUGAGUUUAAGCAACUCAGAACCUUUAAUAUGGUGUGAUUCUCUGAUCAUCAUAUUAUGUAUCUGAAUUUCAAGUGGAGGGCAAGUCUGGUGCCAGCAGCCGCGGUAAUACCAGCUCCACUGGCCUAUACAAUCAUUGUUGC
rnacentral:rRNA from 1 species